GAUGAACGCUGGCGGCGUGCCUAAUACAUGCAAGUCGAGCGAACGGACGAGAAGCUUGCUUCUCUGAUGUUAGCGGCGGACGGGUGAGUAACACGUGGAUAACCUACCUAUAAGACUGGGAUAACUUCGGGAAACCGGAGCUAAUACCGGAUAAUAUUUUGAACCGCAUGGUUCAAAAGUGAAAGACGGUCUUGCUGUCACUUAUAGAUGGAUCCGCGCUGCAUUAGCUAGUUGGUAAGGUAACGGCUUACCAAGGCAACGAUGCAUAGCCGACCUGAGAGGGUGAUCGGCCACACUGGAACUGAGACACGGUCCAGACUCCUACGGGAGGCAGCAGUAGGGAAUCUUCCGCAAUGGGCGAAAGCUUGACGGAGCAACGCCGCGUGAGUGAUGAAGGUCUUCGGAUCGUAAAACUCUGUUAUUAGGGAAGAACUUAUGUGUAAGUAACUGUGCACAUCUUGACGGUACCUAAUCAGAAAGCCACGGCUAACUACGUG
rnacentral:rRNA from 1 species